AUUGAACGCUGGCGGCAGGCCUAACACAUGCAAGUCGAGCGUGAAAGGGCUUCGGCCUGAGUAAAGCGGCGGACGGGUGAGUAACGCGUAGGAAUCUACCUGGUAGUGGGGGAUAACGUUCCGAAAGGGACGCUAAUACCGCAUACGUUCCGAGGAAGAAAGCGGGGGAUCGCAAGACCUCGCGCUAUCAGAUGAGCCUGCGUCCGAUUAGCUAGUUGGUGGGGUAAAGGCCUACCAAGGCGACGAUCGGUAACUGGUCUGAGAGGAUGAUCAGUCACACUGGAACUGAGACACGGCCCAGACUCCUACGGGAGGCAGCAGUGGGGAAUAUUGGACAAUGGGCGCAAGCCUGAUCCAGCCAUGCCGCGUGUGUGAAGAAGGCCUC
rnacentral:rRNA from 1 species